GGACAGGUGGCAGAGCGGUUGAAUGCGGCGGUCUUGAAAACCGCUAGCUCGCAAGGGCUCGUGGGUUCGAAUCCCACCCUGUCCG
rnacentral:tRNA from 1 species